GCGCACCAGGCGCGAAAACUUUACAAUGUGCGAAAGCACGAUAAGGGAACUCUGAGUGCCUCCUAAGGAGGCUGUUCUGAUGUCUAAAAAGCAACAGAAGUAAGGGCUGGGUAAGACCGGUGCCAGCCGCCGCGGUAACACCGGCAGCCCAAGUGGUAGCCACGUUUAUUGGGUCUAAAGCGUUCGUAGCCGGCCAGGUAAGUUCCUUGGUAAAUUUAGCCGCUUAACGGUUAAGCUUUCAGGGAAUACUGCUUGGCUUGGGACUGGGAGAGGUCAGAGGUACUCCGGGGGUAGGGGUGAAAUCUAUUAAUCCCUGGGGGACCACCGGUAGCGAAGGCGUCUGACCAGACCAGGUCCGACGGUGAGGGACGAAGGCUAGGGGCGCGAACCGGAUUAGA
rnacentral:rRNA from 1 species